rnacentral:rRNA from 1 species
GAUGAACGCUGGCGGCGUGCCUAAUACAUGCAAGUCGAGCGAACAGACGAGGAGCUUGCUCCUCUGACGUUAGCGGCGGACGGGUGAGUAACACGUGGAUAACCUACCUAUAAGACUGGGAUAACUUCGGGAAACCGGAGCUAAUACCGGAUAAUAUAUUGAACCGCAUGGUUCAAUAGUGAAAGACGGUUUUGCUGUCACUUAUAGAUGGAUCCGCGCCGCAUUAGCUAGUUGGUAAGGUAACGGCUUACCAAGGCGACGAUGCGUAGCCGACCUGAGAGGGUGAUCGGCCACACUGGAACUGAGACACGGUCCAGACUCCUACGGGAGGCAGCAGUAGGGAAUCUGCCGCAAUGGGCGAAAGCCUGACGGAGCAACGCCGCGUGAGUGAUGAAGGUCUUCGGAUCGUAAAACUCUGUUAUUAGGGAAGAACAAAUGUGUAAGUAACUAUGCACGUCUUGACCGUACCUAAUCAGAAAGCCACGGCUAACUACGUG